UCGAGAAUCAUUCACAAUGGGGGAAACCCUGAUGGUGCGACGCCGCGUGGGGGAAUGAAGGUCUUCGGAUUGUAAACCCCUGUCAUGUGGGAGCAAAAUUAAAAAGAUAGUACCACAAGAGGAAGAGACGGCUAACUCUGUGCC
rnacentral:rRNA from 1 species